GACUGACAUCAACUGUCCACGAGCUCAAGUGCAUUUCGGGAAUAGAAUAAAAAAGUGGACAGGACGGAGGGAAUUCGCGCCAGUGGUGACUGCUAGCAAGAAUCUUGAGGCCGAAGACUCACUGCCGUUACAGUCAUUCCUGACCAGGAAGGCACCUGAUACAAUAGCUGAAUAUGAGCGCACAGGGAUGUUUUCUACAGAAGGAAGGAAAAAGAUCAUCACUGUUAGCGUCGGUGAUCUCGUGGCAAAACAUGGAUUUAAUGCACAUCUCAUGCCUCAAACAGCUACCCUUCCACUGCAGACAAGCUGAACUUGGCUAAAUCCUUGAUUGCAAUCUUUCCCUCUCUGAAUCUCGGCGUUUGUGGAGAGAACGAAGGAUAUGAGCAUCUAUAUGACCCUGUGUCCCAUAAAGGAUUCAUAGAAGUCAAGCUUCGGAAUAUGAGGCGGCAUCUUGAAGAGGGACAGCGACGCUAUCAGCGAAAAGUUCCCUGCAGUGUUUCAGCUGGAGCAUCAGUAACACAGUCACCAGCUGAUGAAGACCCAAUUGAAUGGUUGACCAUCAUCAAGAGAAUGAAGCCAUCAUCUGAGAACAUCUCCACCAUCAAAACUGCAAUGGAAAAGACCUUCAACCAUCGCAGGAAUUGGAUCAGCACGCAGAUGCCAACAGUUGGUGACAUUUACCAACAGUACCCCCGUUUCAUCGACAUGCCAGCCCUGCUAGAUGCAGAGUUUGGAAAGAUGUUUGAGGGAAAGGGAGAGAUGCUAAUCCGAAGAUGGGAAUCAUCGGUUAUUCCAAAACUGAAACGGAUUGCGGCUUUGGAGAAGGGGAGUGUAACCACUCUGCUGGAUCAGAAUCCAAA